rnacentral:misc_RNA from 1 species
UACGGAGGGUGCGAGCGUUGUUCGGAAUCACUGGGCGUAAAGCGCGCGCAGGCGGGACCUGCAAGUCGGAAGUGAAAUCCCGGGGCUCAACUCCGGGGCUGCUUUCGAAACUGCGGACCUGGAGACCAGUAGGGGUUGGUGGAAUUCCCAGUGUAGCGGUGGAAUGCGUAGAUAUUGGGAAGAACACCGGUGGCGAAGGCGGCCAACUGGGCUGGAUCUGACGCUGAGGCGCGAAAGCGUGGGGAGCAAACAGG